rnacentral:rRNA from 1 species
GAUGAACGCUGGCGGCGUGCCUAAUACAUGCAAGUCGAGCGAACGGACGAGAAGCUUGCUUUUCUGAUGUUAGCGGCGGACGGGUGAGUAACACGUGGAUAACCUACCUAUAAGACUGGGAUAACUUCGGGAAACCGGAGCUAAUACCGGAUAAUAUUUUGAACCGCAUGGUUCAAAAGUGAAAGACGGUCUUGCUGUCACUUAUAGAUGGAUCCGCGCUGCAUUAGCUAGUUGGUAAGGUAACGGCUUACCAAGGCAACGAUGCAUAGCCGACCUGAGAGGGUGAUCGGCCACACUGGAACUGAGACACGGUCCAGACUCCUACGGGAGGCAGCAGUAGGGAAUCUUCCGCAAUGGGCGAAAGCCUGACGGAGCAACGCCGCGUGAGUGAUGAAGGUCUUCGGAUCGUAGAACUCUGUUAUUAGGGAAGAACAUAUGUGUAAGUAACUGUGCACAUCUUGACGGUACCUAAUCAGAAAGCCACGGCUAACUACGUG